GCGGUAGUAGUUCAGUUGGUAGAACGCAACCUUGCCAAGGUUGAGGUCGCCAGUUCAAGUCUGGUCUACCGCUCCA
rnacentral:tRNA from 1 species